rnacentral:rRNA from 1 species
UACGGGGGGGGCAAGCGUUGUUCGGAAUUACUGGGCGUAAAGGGCUCGUAGGUGGCCAACUAAGUCAGACGUGAAAUCCCCAGGCUCAACUUGGGAACUGCGUCUGAUACUGGAUGGCUUGAAUUCGGGAGAGGGAUGCAGAAUUCCAGGUGUAGCGGUGAAAUGCGUAGAGAUCGGGAGGAACACCAGUGGCGAAGGCGGCCAUCUGGCUCAACAUUGACGCUGAGGCACGAAAGCGUGGGGAGCGAACAGG